UACAGAGGUCCCAAGCGUUGUUCGGAUUCACUGGGCGUAAAGGGUGCGUAGGUGGUGAGGUAAGUCGGAUGUGAAAGCUCCGAGCUCAACUCGGAAAUGGCAUUGGAAACUACCUUGCUCGAGGGUUUGAGGGGGGACUGGAAUACUUGGUGUAGCAGUGAAAUGCGUAGAUAUCAAGUAGAACACCAGUGGCGAAGGCGAGUCCCUGGAAAACUCCUGACUCUGAGGCACGAAAGCUAGGGGAGCAAACAGG
rnacentral:rRNA from 1 species